rnacentral:rRNA from 1 species
GACGAACGCUGGCGGCGUGCUUAACACAUGCAAGUCGAACGGAAAGACCCUGCUUUUGUGGGGUGCUCGAGUGGCGAACGGGUGAGUAACACGUGAGUAACCUGCCCUUGACUUUGGGAUAACUUCAGGAAACUGGGGCUAAUACCGGAUAGGAGCUCCUGCUGCAUGGUGGGGGUUGGAAAGUUUCGGCGGUUGGGGAUGGACUCGCGGCUUAUCAGCUUGUUGGUGGGGUAGUGGCUUACCAAGGCUUUGACGGGUAGCCGGCCUGAGAGGGUGACCGGCCACAUUGGGACUGAGGUACGGCCCAGACUCCUACGGGAGGCAGCAGUGGGGAAUAUUGCACAAUGGGCGGAAGCCUGAUGCAGCAACGCCGCGUGCGGGAUGACGGCCUUCGGGUUGUAAACCGCUUUCGCCUGUGACGAAGCGUGAGUGACGGUAAUGUGUAAAGAAGCACCGGCUAACUACGUG